GCGCUAACUAUGCGCGCGAAUUUUUCCCGGCAAGUUUACUUUGCAGUGAUAACAUCACACUGCACUAGUAUAAACUUAAAAGAUGUUGGAACUACGUUUGGCUCUGGUGAUAUGUGGACAUCGAGUAUGGGAAAGGCAUAAGAUAGGUUAACAUUAAAGAUACCAUAACUGAUUGCCUGUGCCGAUCUCUAAGACAAGUGUGGAGAUUUAUCUGCUGCUGUCGACCUGAGGACAACGAGUUUGGGCUUCCAAUUGAAGAAACAGCGCCAUCUACUGGACAGCCAAGCACGGUGCACCCAUUUUUUUGAGGAAAGUCAUCACAUCAGUUUAGAAGACAUGGACCUUAAAGAAACUGCCUUAAAACAUUGAAGAUGGAUCCCUCUAUUUAUCCGUUCUGCAGUGCCCCAUAUCCAUUCCAGAAUCAGACACAACAUGAGUGGGUGGGUGAUCAUUAAUCCCUAAAGCUCAAUACAGUAGUAUGCCUCCCUCUCCUUGGGAGACAACUCUUGCCUGUUUUCUGUAUUUCAAGUCAUGGGUUGCAUCCCAAGGAACACAUACUGAUAAAACAAAUGUAUGACUUUAAUGUACUGUAAGUUGCUUUGGAUAAAAGUGUCUACCAAAUGCAUAAAAAGGUAAAACAUGUAAAUCCCCCAUGUAGACACUGUAUGACAGGACUAGUCAAAUGCAGCCCUCCAAUCAUCUUUAUCCGGCCCAGAUCUUUGUCUGAUUUAAGCGUGGUUACAUUAAAGCCGCCUUUCCACUGUACAUGACAAAUGAAGGGGCUGCGUGGGGUGCCAACCAUAUGCGGGUGCGUAAUUUUCGGAUCCAUUCUGAGCUUUGGAUGCAAAAAACUUGAGUACCCAGCUUGCAACAUGCUGACCGGAAGUAAUGUAUUUCAGUGUGUUCCUAUCAAAACACUGUGUGCAAGGUGAACAUUUUUAAUCAUUUUUUGUUUAACUUUAUCAGUAACACUUGGAUUCUUUAAAAACGAUUAAUUACUAAUAAGUAAAUUAAGAAGUAUAAAUAUAUUUGUAGAUUUAAGGCUCUUUCACUGUAAUGAGCUUCUCUUCCAUGUUGAGAUGGAUUUAUGAUUAAACUGAAAUUUGAUUAUGACUGGCACUAGGGGGAAAACUCAGACAGUCAUUUCCAAAUGUAGUGUACAGUGGAAAGGUGGUUUAGUCUAUAUAUCUUUAAAAUAUUUUUAAAAAAAACAUGAAGUGCAAUUUUUAGUCAUUAGGAGAAGCAUGGCUUUAUGUUGUGAAUACUUGAAAUGUAACAAUUUAUGAAAGUUAAACAUUCAUAAAUUUUUGCUAUGUUGAUUAUUUACCCUUGCACUUUUUGGUGAAAUGUUCAUAGUAAAACUUUAAACAUUUGUCUCUUCCAAUGUUAAACUGCAAUUGUUUUAAAAAAAAAGAUUAAAUAUAAAAGGAGUUUUCAGUAAUUAAAAGGCA